rnacentral:rRNA from 1 species
GAUGAACGCUGGCGGCGUGCCUAAUACAUGCAAGUCGAGCGGAAAGACGAGGAGCUUGCUGCUCUGACGUUAGCGGAGGACGGGUGAGACACACGUGGAUCACGUCCCUAUCAGUCUGGGAUCACUUCGGGAAACCGGAGAUAAUACGGUAUAAUCUCUUGAACCGCAUGGUUCAAUAGUGAAAGUCGGUUUUGCUGUCACUUAUCGCUGGAUCCGCGCCGGUGUAGCUAGUUGGUAAGGUAACGGCUUAUGAAGGCAACGAUGCGUAGCCGACGUGAGAGGCGGAUCGCCCACACUGGAACGUGGACACCGUCCAUACUACUAAGGGAGGCAGCAGUAUGCAAUCUGCCGCAGUGGUCGAAAGCCUGACGCAGUGACGCGACGUGAGAUGUGAAGGUCCUGCGAUCGUAAAACCCUGUUAUGAGGUAAGAACAAAUGUGGAAGGAACCAUGCACGGCGUGACGGUACCUAAUCAGAAAGCCACGGCUAACUACGUG